ACCACCAAUUAUAGCCAGUUGUAUCUCCUGGAAAGGCAGUCAGGAAACUGCAGUUCUAAAUUUCAGUCUGCCCCUCCAAAUUGGUAUGAAACUAAUUUUUGUUGCUGUAAGUUGAAGACGACCUGAAGUUCUGAUAGCUGGAAAGUAAGCUCAGAAUGUCCAGCAGGAUUUCACUAUCAAAGGACUCCAGGAAUGAAAGCCCCAGUGUUAACAUCUGACCACAAGAACGGUGCUGGGUCCUGACACAGAAGCUGGUAAUUCUUAGGGCUUUUUGUAAGGACUGUAUUACCGAUUCAAAUUGGAUAAAACUAGACUGACAUGAAAUACUACAUCUUGUGAAUUUCUAAGAUAUAACCAACAUGAUUCCACUUAUUUAAACCUGCUUAGAUGGCUGAAUUUCUUAGUUUAUCCAGAUAAUUAAUUGUAACAUACGCAUCCAAUGUAAUCAACCUGAGUAACACAUUUUGCAGUGUGUGU
rnacentral:lncRNA from 1 species